UCCAAAGGAUCACAGCUCCUCACCAGCUAGGGAUCAAAGAUGGAUGGAGAAUGAAUCUGAUGAAUUGACAGAAACAGGCUUCAGAAGGUUUCCCCCAGGAAGCCAUGGGCAUGCCCAUCCUUUAUGCCGGGCUUCUGGAAGACUCUCCUCUGGAGCUUUACCUGCUACAAAUCUUCAGACUCUGUUAGCCAAAGCCCAGAGACUGCUGGCUGUAAUGGGCUUGUGGUCCUACCACCAAUUUUUUAUACCAGGAGAGUCAGCCUUGCAAUCCUAAGACCUGAGGCAGGAGCCUGAAGACUCAGGGGUUCAACAGGGGUCUUUCAAUGGCACUUGGGGAGAGAUGUCAAGAACCCCACUUCUGCUUUGUCCCAAUUCUAAGAACUUGAAAAGAAAUCCAGAGGAGAUAAUUGAUGUUUAACAUUUUAAUAUAUUUGAGAUACUAAUGGAUCCCUUUGAGGAUUCAUAAAAGGCAGGAACUCUUAUUUUAGUAACACACACACAAGUGUGCGCACACACACGCCUUUAUAUACAAUUUUUGUGCAUUCAUAGCUUCAGUUUAGUGAUUCUUCUGUGACCUCACACUGCCUUCCAUGGGUUGCAGAAGUGUAGGGAUGGAGGUUUGUUGAUCCGAUUUUAAGUAGAUGCUAUCCUAGGCGGUUGGUAAGUCUUACUAAAUUAUACAUGUAGACACGUUACAUAUAUGUAUUUAAAAGUCUUGUCUUUGGGGAAUAUUUAAAACAACUAAAAUGGUAAAAUCAUUCCAUUGUAGAAACCAACAGUUGCCACCAAUUAUUUGCAAAUCUGUACAGGUCCGAGAUUCACUCUGGACAGCCGAGAAACCUGGUGAACUCUUCUUUUGCCAUGGAGACUGAGGACAUUAAACAAGGGAGUUUACUCUGGGGGCAGUAGAAAGAUCAGUGAUCAGUUUACUUUGGCCCCAGGAGCACUGGACUCUCUUCAGCUUAACCAGCCACCUCUCACGGGCCCAUCUGAAGGUCUUGGGACUUAACCUGUCUUGGUGAAAGAGCAAUGGGAAGUCUAAUCCUUAAAUAAUGUUGGAAGAAAUUAUGAAUAACACUUUUCAAGAAAGUAUGUCACAGGACAGUGGGGACAGCUCAGGCGAUUGAGUCCAUAGUCCUAGGUUCUAGCUUUCCAUCUUGCUGGACAGCCUACCAGUUAUGUCUGUCCUCCAGCUGAGCUCAGUUUUUGUCUCUGUAAAAUCAGAUCUCUCUACUAAAUGGUCUCUCAGGGUGUGUUUUGCCAAAGGGCCCAGUAGCAAUGGAGGGAGACAUAAAGCAAUCAGAGCCACUUCAUUAGUUCACUGUGUAUUUGGUAUGUAGUCCAUGUUGGGUGUUCUGUAAUAAUGAUAGUUGUCAUUACCAUCUAUUGGUGUCAUUACCAUCUAUUGGUCAGACAGGGCAAGUACUCUAACAGCAAUGUGAGUAAUCUUCAGAAGGAUAAGGUAGACAUUUGUACUCCUAUUACUAAUGAGAAACAGAAGCUCAGAGUAGAUGAGGAACUUGUCCAGUAUGAUGCAGCUAUUAAGUGGUCUAACAUCCAAACCCAGGAGUCUUUGACUCCAAUGCCAAGCCCAUUUUAUUAUUCCACAGAUUGCAUGUGACAAUACGCAGUGAAUGAAUACACAGGUGAUUAUUAAUAGAAGGUGGGCACAAGGAACUGGCAUACAAAGAAAAAGUGCUGCUAAGAUCUGUCCGCUCUGUUCUCUGUGAUAGAUUGCCUAGGGCUUAGAGGUCAGCAUCCUUGCAGGGUCCUUGAUGUAGUGAGAGCUGAGGGGCUGAACUCAGGAGCUGUGCACAUGAGACUUAGAAGGGGAAGAUGUUGGUCAGGAUAUAAAUAAAAAUUAGAUGAAAAAUGCUAA